UACAGAGGGUGCGAGCGUUGUUCGGAAUUAUUGGGCGUAAAGCGCGUGUAGGCGGGAUGGCAAGUCGGGUGUGAAAGCCCUCAGCUCAACUGAGGAAGUGCGCCCGAAACUACCGUUCUUGAGUGCCGGAGAGGGUGGCGGAAUUCCCGGUGUAGAGGUGAAAUUCGUAGAUAUCGGGAGGAACACCAGUGGCGAAGGCGGCCAACCUGGACGGACACUGGACGGCUGAGACGCGAAAGCCGUGGGGGAGCAAAACAGG
rnacentral:rRNA from 1 species